CCUACCUGGUUGAUCCUGCCAGUAGUCAUAUGCUUGUCUCAAAGAUUAAGCCAUGCAUGUCUCAGUACAGGGCGAUAUAACGCCGAAACCGCGAAUGGCUCAUUAAAUCAGUUGUGGUUCCCAAGAGCCUACUCUUAUCCUACUUGGAUAACUGUGGUAAUUCCAGAGCUAAUACAUGCGAGCAAAGCUCCGACCCUGCUUGUUCGGGGGAAGAGCGCUUUUAUUAGACCGAAAACCAUGCGGGCUCCGGUCCGUCCUAACCCCUGGUGGUGAAUCUGGAUAACUUUGAGCUGAGCGCACGGUCUCUGCACCGGCGCCGCACCUUUCGAGUGUCUGCCUUAUCAGCUGUCGACUGUACGCUAUGCGCUUACAGUGGCUGUAACGGGUAACGGGGAAUCAGGGUUCGAUUCCGGAGAGGGAGCCUGAGAGACGGCUACCACAUCUAAGGAAGGCAGCAGGCACGCAAAUUACCCAAUCCCAGCACGGGGAGGUAGUGACGAAAAAUAACGAUGCAAGACUCAUCCGAGGCCUUGCAAUUGGAAUGAGCACACUUUAAGUCCUUUAGCGAGGAUCCACUGGAGGGCAAGUCUGGUGCCAGCAGCCGCGGUAAUUCCAGCUCCAGUAGCGUAUAUUAAAGUUGCUGCGGUUAAAAAGCUCGUAGUUGAAUUUGUGCAGGGGGCCGACGGCGCACCCUCAGUGGUGCUUGCCGUCGACAUGGCCUCUGAAAGGACCGCCGGGCCUGAGCGGACAUUGCCUUUUACGGGCUGUGCUGUUUGGGUCCGGCAGUGAUCACCUUGAAAAAAUCGGAGUGCUCAGAGCAGGCCUGUUGGUCUGUACGGUGGUGCAUGGAAUGACGGAAGAGGGCCCCGCCCCCGCCUGUUUCGUUGGUUUUCGGGGGGUGGGGCAAUGAUGGAUGGGACCUGCCGGGGGCAUUGGUAUUGCGGGGUUAGAGGUGAAAUUCUUGGAUCCCCGCAAGACCAACAGAGGCGAAAGCAUCUGCCAAGGAUGUCUUCGUCAAUCAAGAACGAAAGUUGGAGGAUCGAAGGCGAUCAGAUACCGCUCUAGUUCCAACCGUAAACGAUGCUGACCCGCGAUCCGCCGGAGUUAUUACCAUGACUCGGCGGGCAGCCCCCGGGAAACCGGAGUCUCUGAGUUCCGGGGGAAGUAUGGUUGCAAAGCUGAAACUUAAAGGAAUUGACGGAAGGGCACCACCAGGAGUGGAGCCUGCGGCUUAAUUUGACUCAACACGGGAAACCUCACCAGGCCCUGACACUAGAAGGAUUGACAGAUUGAGAGCUCUUUCUCGAUUCAGUGGGUGGUGGUGCAUGGCCGUUCUUAGUUGGUGGAGUGAUUUGUCUGGUUAAUUCCGAUAACGAACGAGACUCCCACCUGCUAAAUAGUCGGCAGAUCCUCAAACGAAAGAAGGGCUUGUUCCCUCCUGUGGGUGGCUGGUUCAGUCCUGUGGCUUCUUGGGUGUUUGCAGUGUGGCCGGCAGGUGCCUCGCGUACCUGUUGGCGCCUGCUUCCCUGGGUUGCUUGCAGUCUGUUCCUGGUUUAACUUGCAGGUUUAAAAAGGGCUUGCUCCCGAGUCUGUCGCAUCUUCUUAGAGGGAUAAGUGGCAUAUAGCCGCACGAGAUGGAGCAAUAACAGGUCUGUGAUGCCCUUAGAUGUCCUGGGCCGCACGCGCGCUACACUGAAGGGGACAGCGUGUGCACCCUCUCCGAGAGGAGCGGGGGAACCCGUUUGAAACCCCUUCGUGAUAGGGACCGGGGCUUGCAAUUGUUCCCCGCCAACGAGGAAUUCCCAGUAAGCGCAGGUCACUAGCCUGCGCUGAUUUAAGUCCCUGCCCUUUGUACACACCGCCCGUCGCUACUACCGAUUGAGUGAUUUAGUGAGGAUUUCGGACUGGCGCCCUUGGUCCGUGCAACGGGCUUGCCUGCCUUGUGUGGGCACCCGGGACCUCGGGUCGACGGAAAGAUCUCCGAACUUGAUCACUUAGAGGAAGUAAAAGUCGUAACAAGGUUUCCGUAGGUGAACCUGCGGAAGGAUCAUUA
rnacentral:rRNA from 1 species